rnacentral:rRNA from 1 species
AAAGAGUAGGGAAGUGUGUGAGCCAUGCGUCAAGAAAAGCCGCUAUUGUUUUACUUAAGCCCGUACCGUAAACCGACACAGGUGGAUGAGGAGAGAAUCCUAAGGCCGACGGGAGAAGCAUUGUUAAGGAACUCGGCAAAAUGACUCCGUAACUUCGGGAGAAGGAGUGCCAGCGAGAGCUGGCCGCAGAGAAUUGGCCCAAGCAACUGUUUAGCAAAAACACAGGUCUAUGCAAAACCGUAAGGUGAAGUAUAUGGGCUGACGCCUGCCCGGUGCUGGAAGGUUAAGAGGAGAGGUUAGCGGUAACGCGAAGCUUUGAAUUUAAGCCCCAGUAAACGGCGGCCGUAACGAUAACGGUCCCUAGGUAGCGAAAUUCCUUGUCGGGUAAGUUCCGACCCGCACGAAAGGCGUAAUGAUUUGGGCACUGUCUCAACAAUGCACCCGGUGAAAUUGAAAUACCAGUGAAGAUGCUGGUUACCUGCGCCAGGACGGAAAGACCCCAUGGAGCUUUACUCCAGCUUGAUACUGGGAUUCGGUAUUGCAUGUACAGGAUAGGUGGGAGGCUAGGAAGUGAUAACGCCAGUUGUCACGGAGCCGCUGUUGGGAUACCACCCUUGCAGUAUUGGAUUUCUAACCAGCGACCAUGAACUGGUCGGGGGAUAAUGUCAGGUGGGGAGUUUGACUGGGGCGGUCGCCUCCGAAAGGGUAUCGGAGGCGCUCAAAGGUUCCCUCAGAAUGGACGGAAACCAUUCGAAGAGUGCAAAGGCAGAAGGGAGCUUGACUGCGACACCGACGGGUGGAGCAGGUACGAAAGUAGGACUUAGUGAUCCGGUGGUAUAAAGUGGGAUUGCCAUCGCUCAACGGAUAAAAGCUACCCUGGGAUAACAGGCUUAUCACUCCCAAGAGUUCACAUCGACGGAGUGGUUUGGCACCUUGAUGUCGGCUCAUCGCAUCCUGGGGCUGAAGUAGGUCCCAAGGGUUGGGCUGUUCGCCCAUUAAAGCGGUACGCGAGCUGGGUUCAGAACGUCGUGAGACAGUUCGGUCCCUAUCCGGCGUGGGCGUAGGAUAUUUGAGAGGAGCUGUCCUUAGUACGAGAGGACCGGGAUGGACUGGCCGCUGGUGUAUCUGUUGCAUACCAAAUGCAUGGCAGAGUAGCCAAGCCGGGACGGGAUAAACGCUGAAGGCAUCUAAGCGUGAAGCCCCCCUCAAGAUGAGAUAUCCCUACGUAAGUAGUAAGACCCCUUGAAGACGACAAGGUAGAUAGGUCAGAGGUGGAAGUACAGUAAUGUAUGGAGCUGACUGAUACUAAUCGGUCGAGGGCAUGAUC